GAUGAACGCUGGCGGCGUGCCUAAUACAUGCAAGUCGAGCGAACGGACGAGAAGCUUGCUUCUCUGAUGUUAGCGGCGGACGGGUGAGGAACACGUGGAUAACCUACCUAUAAGACUGGGAUAACUUCGGGAAACCGGAGCUAAUACCGGAUAAUAUUUUGAACCGCAUGGUUCAAAAGUGAAAGACGGUCUUGCUGUCACUUAUAGAUGGAUCCGCGCUGCAUUAGCUAGUUGGUAAGGUAACGGCUUACCAAGGCAACGAUGCAUAGCCGACCUGAGAGGGUGAUCGGCCACACUGGAACUGAGACACGGUCCAGACUCCUACGGGAGGCAGCAGUAGGGAAUCUUCCGCAAUGGGCGAAAGCCUGACGGAGCAACGCCGCGUGAGUGAUGAAGGUCUUCGGAUCGUAAAACUCUGUUAUUAGGGAAGAACAUAUGUGUAAGUAACUGUGCACAUCUUGACGGUACCUAAUCAGAAAGCCACGGCUAACUACGUG
rnacentral:rRNA from 1 species